UGGUCUUACCUGAAGACGGUGUGCUAACCAGCAAUGGAGGCAGCCGGCCACGGUAAGGUCAGCGACUGGGGUGAAGUCGUAACAAGGUAKYCGUAGGUGAACCUGCAGAAGGAUCA
rnacentral:rRNA from 1 species